rnacentral:rRNA from 1 species
UACAGAGGUGGCGAGCGUUAUUCGGAAUUAUUGGGCGUAAAGGGCGCGUAGGCGGCCCUGUAAGUCAACGGUGAAAUCCCUCGGCUCAACCGAGGACGUGCCGUUGAUACUGCAGGGCUCGAGGCCGGGAGAGGGUAGUGGAAUUCCCAGUGUAGCGGUGAAAUGCGUAGAUAUUGGGAGGAACACCGGUGGCGAAGGCGGCUACCUGGACCGGUUCUGACGCUGAGGCGCGAAAGCGUGGGGAGCAAACAGG